rnacentral:tRNA from 1 species
GCUUUCGUGGUGUAGUGGUAACACACUCGGAGCAUAUUCGAGAGGUCCGGGUUCGAGUCCCAGAGAAGGCA